UUAACCUUUCAGAAGAUGAAAGCUUGCCGUGCCUUUCAUGUCAGGAGUGUAGCUGCACUUCACUGCUUCAUUAGGUCUUUUGGCUUCAGCCUCACCUGAAACUGAGAUCUGGGCUGUGGGACAGCAGAUGUGUGGAGGAUGCUAAUUCCUCUUCCUACCUAUGUAGGAAGGAGCUAAUGCAAAAAAAGAAUUCAGGUGGGGGCAAGAGUACUGAUGUGAGGGAACAGCCAGAUGGAAGGAAAUAGCAGAAGAUAGCAUAAAGAGGGGUAGGGCAAAGGAGCAAGUAAAGCAACAGGAUUUCCUGAAGUUCUUUUCUCUGUCUAUUCCUGCCCCUGUGGUCUCCUUCUUGAUGCAGUUUGGGUGUCUCGAAUUCCUUGGCAGGGUCUGAAGCUGGUGGUGUUUGCAAACCUCCUGUACUCUGAGUCCAUGAGCUUCACUGCCAACAAAAUCCACUCAAAGGAUCACAUCAGGAUUAUUUCUGUUGCUGUUGUUGUUCCUGGCCCUCCUGUCAGUAGCUGCUGAGGAGCUCAUCUAUCAGAGGCCUGUUUUGUGCAGACAUUCAAUGGAGAGUGAACAAAAGCAAAAUGCUUUCUCCCAGUACUACAGUGCCAGGGAGUCCUACCUGGAUUUUUUCUGUAAAAUUUUCCCUCGCUACCACAAGUCUUAGUGUUUGUGCAGGCAUGGAUUCAGCUCCUCAUCUCCUGACUACAGCACAGGCUUGGGCCAGUUUUCUUCAUGCCUGGUGAACCUAAAGACCGAGCUUUUCUCUAAGAACCAACACAAGAGCAGCAGCCAGGUCUGCAGAGACGGUGUGCAGGAAGACGGGCAGCGGCUGGGAGUGCUUUCAUUUUCCUGGGGCUCUGCGUGUGUGCGAACAUCCUGGGGGGAGCCCUCUCGGGGAAGAGCUGCAGAGCCCCCGGCUGUGUGCAGCGCCGAUAAGGAGAUGAAACAAUGGCUGCGACACUGAGAGCGCCGCACAAUUACUUGGGUCCUGAGGUUCACCUACCUCAACUUAACUGUGCAAAAUGCGUCCAGCACCUCUGAAGAAGAUACAUUUCCUAUUAGCACCAGCUGCAGUGAUGUGCCUGCAAUGGUGAGAAGCUGAGGAAUCCUUUGUCCUAUAGUGAGAGCUAACAGCCAGCAGGAAAACAAGAAGAACUUUGCAUGCAGCUUCAGUGAAAACAUGUCUGUCGGUUCAUGGAGGUCAGGAGCUUGCCCUUGCAUGUCAGUCUGCAAACAGGCUGGGGUUGUGCAGAAUAAGCUGUGUGCUGUAACAGUGAGGCAUGGACUGUGAAAAGACAAAUCAGCCAGCACUGACUUCUGACAGCCAGGAACAAGAAAGCCUGUUUUCACAGCAACCCCAGCGGGCACUCAGCUUCUCCAGUACAAAGCGCCUUCCAGCAGAGGCACAUUGGUGUGUAGUUUGAACUUUGGAAAUGUGUUUUACAGAAAGAAGAUCCUGCUGUACAAUAGGAUGCCAAACCGAAAAUAAGAGAAAAAUGCUCUAGUACUCUGAGCAGUACUGACAGCAUGAUCCUGGCUGAACAGAAGAUGAAUCAAUGGGGAGAAAAGGCAAGGUGGAAGAAUUAAGUGCAAGUGCUUGGAGUGGUACAUGGAGAUGUUUGGAGAUGUCUGGCUGGUGUUGGUGUUCUCAGACUGAUCUGCAGGAAUUGCUGACCUCACUGGGAAUGUUUGUGCCAGAGGAGCAGCUGUGCAAGAGCUUUAGGCUUGGUUUCAUUCUUACCUGCAGAGGUUUCAGGCCAGCCUGUUAUGUGUGAGGUAUGACCUUCCCUCAGAUGCUAAAAGGGCGCUGUGCCUGCCUGGGUUGGGACAUCUGGUAAGGACGAUACGAAGCCAGCAAGGCUUCCCGUUGGCCAUGUCAGGAAAGCAGGGAUCAACAUGGUCUACACAAGGACUCUUGCAGGGGCAGUUUGGCACAUCCAGCUCCAUGGACACCUGCUUUGCUGCAUUCAGGAGCUCCUGGUGGCUGGGCAGAUCCACACCGCAUCAAUGACAUCCAUCCUGUCCAGACAGACAGGUCCCUGUGACCACAGAGCUCCUCUGUAGUUUCCACUCAGCCCAGGUGCCAACACAUGCAUGGCUGCAUCUUGAACAAACCAAAGGCUUUCACUGCACACCUGGGAAGUCAGCACUCCAAAAAUAAAAAUAAAUACAAAGGUUUACUCCUGAAGAAUUGAGGUUUUCUAUGCCUAAGAACUAAAUGCUUUGGGACUGUGGAUUAAGGAGGAUAUUUUUAGUGCCAUCAAUAUCUCCUGGAGUUGAUAUCUCCCAAGACAGAUGGUUGUUUCCCACAGAACAUUGUCAAAUGUUUGCUCAGCCAAGAUCAAUUUUGUUCCAAGUCCUUUCCCACCUUCUGGUGAAAUAUAUUUCACUUGCCAGACAAAAAAUUAAAGAAACAGCAUGAAACCAUGUCACUCUAGAGGGCUCAUCCCCAUAGUCCUCCUCUGUCCUUUGGCUGCGUGACUGACAUCUCUUUUGGUGACCACAGAGGAACAGAUGCCCUUGGAGUGGAAGCACGGUGCCAAAACUGAGGGCCGAGGCCACACAGCAGAAGCUGACUUCCUCUGAGACCUGGGACAAGUCCCUUCUCAGUCUGUCAAGGGGUCCUGCUGCCACACUUGUGGUUAGAUUUCCUGAAACAAAAUAAAUCCUGAGCUUUUGUCCUGAGCACCUUGAGUGCUCUCUUAAGAAAAUGAUGUGCACCAUGGAUGGAGGAAAAGAAGUCCUGAGGAGGAGAGGCUGGGAAAAGACACAGAGAGGAUGAGUUGUGUCCAUUGCUCAGCAACAACUUCAGCUUUUAUUAUUUUUAUCAUUUAUAAGUCCACAUGACUCUGGAGCCAGACUCUGCUAGAAAUUUAUGGGGGCAAAGGACUUUCUAAAGCACGGUGUGGGGUGUAUGUACAGUUAUGUCCUAUUUGUAAAAACAGCACCAUAAAAUAAAACAGUUUCAUCUA